rnacentral:rRNA from 1 species
GUAGGUGGCAAGCGUUGUCCGGAAUUAUUGGGCGUAAAGCGCGCGCAGGCGGUUCUUUAAGUCUGAUGUGAAAGCCCACGGCUCAACCGUGGAGGGUCAUUGGAAACUGGAGAACUUGAGUACAGAAGAGGAAAGCGGAAUUCCACGUGUAGCGGUGAAAUGCGUAGAGAUGUGGAGGAACACCAGUGACGAAGGCGGCUUUCUGGUCUGUAACUGACGCUGAGGCGCGAAAGCGUGGGGAGCAAACAGGAUUAGAUACCCUGGUAGUCCACGCCGUAAACGAUGAGUGCUAAGUGUUAGGGGGGUUUCCGCCCCCCUUAGUGCUGCAGCUAACGCAUUAAGCACUCCGCCUGGGAGUACGGCCGCAAGGCUG